CAUGUCUUAAUGAWWWUAAUUUUAAGUCNAAUCUGCUCCAUGAAAAUUUUAAAUAGCUGCAGAAUUAUAACUGUACAAAGGUAGCAUAAUCAAUAGUUUUUUAAUUAAAAGCUUGAAUGAAUGAUUUAAUAAGGUAAAUUUUGUCUCGAAAUUAAUAAUAUUAUAAUUUUAUUUUUAGUAAAAAAUCUAAAGUUAAUUUAAAAGACGAGAAGACCCUAUAGAUUUUUAUAUUUAAUUUAAAAAAGUAUUUAAAUUUUAGAAUAAGAUUUUAAUAAAAAUAUUAGAUUGGGGAAAUUAUUAAAUUUAUAAAAUUUUAAUAUUAAUAAACUUAAAUUUAAGAAUUUUUGAUCUUAAAUAUUUGAAUUAUAAGAGUAAAAUACCUUAGGGAUAACAGCGUAAUUUUUUUGGAGAGACCUUAUUAAUAAAAAAGUUUGCGACCUCGAUGUUGAAUUAAGAUUAAAUAUUAAAGAAGAAUUUAAUAGUUUUUGGUCUGUUCGACCAUUAAAAUCUUACGUGAUCUGA
rnacentral:rRNA from 1 species